UACAGAGGUCUCAAGCGUUGUUCGGAUUCAUUGGGCGUAAAGGGUGCGUAGGUGGCGCUGUAAGUCGGGUGUGAAAUUUCGGAGCUUAACUCCGAAACUGCAUUCGAUACUGCGGUGCUUGAGGACUGGAGAGGAGACUGGAAUUCAUGGUGUAGCAGUGAAAUGCGUAGAUAUCGGAAGGAACAUCAGUGGCGAAAGCGACUUCCUGGACCAAUACUGACGCUGAGGUGCGAAAAGCGUGGGGAGCAAACAGGG
rnacentral:rRNA from 1 species